GUAGGUGGCAAGCGUUGUCCGGAAUUAUUGGGCGUAAAGCGCGCGCAGGUGGUUCGUUUAAGUCUGAUGUGAAAGACCCCCGGGCUCAACCGGGGAGGGUCAUUGGAAACUGGGGAACGUUGAGUGCAGGAGAGGAAAGUGGAAUUCCACGUGUAGCGGUGAAAUGCGUAGAUAUGUGGAGGAACACCAGUGGCGAAGGCGACUUUCUGGCCUGUAACUGACACUGAGGCGCGAAAGCGUGGGGAGCAAACAGGAUUAGAUACCCUGGUAGUCCACGCCGUAAACGAUGAGUGCUAAGUGUUGGGGGGGUUUCCGCCCCUCAGUGCUGCAGCUAACGCAUUAAGCACUCCGCCUGGGGAGUACGGUCGCAAAGACUG
rnacentral:rRNA from 1 species